GAGGGUUGAUAGGUUAAGAGCUAGUUAACUGGACGUUACCCACAGAAACAGCACCGGCUAACUCCGUGCCAGCAGCCGCGGUAAUACGGAGGGUGCGAGCGUUAAUCGGAAUUACUGGGCGUAAAGAGUGCGUAGGUGGUUAAUUAAGUUAUGUGUAAAAUCCCUGGGCUCAACCUGGGCAGGCCAUAUAAUACUGAUUAACUCGAGUAUGGGAGAGGGUAGUGGAAUUUCCGGUGUAGCGGUGAAAUGCGUAGAGAUCGGAAAGAACACCGGUGGCGAAGGCGGCUACCUGGACUAAUACUGACACUGAGGCACGAAAGCGUGGGGAGCAAACAGGAUUAGAUACCCUGGUAGUCCACGCUGUAAACGAUGUCAACUAGCUGUUGGUUAUAUGAAUAUAAUGAGUGGCGCAGCAAACGCGAUAAGUUGACCA
rnacentral:rRNA from 1 species